AGCUUCCUUUAUCUGCUCCUGGAAGUCAUAAUGAGGAUUCACCCUCCUGGAGGAGCCUGGACAGAAGCUGCUGGGAACUUCUACCUCCUCGUUAAGGGCCAGAUGAAGGCAUGGCUAGAAUCCAUCUUCAACCUCAAUGAGUCAAUCUAUGAAAGCCCAGAGAGGCUCUCGGGGGAGGUGAUGGGGAAUCUAGAAAUACAGGUUGAGUUCCUGCUGUCCAGCCUGGAUUAAGGUUCCCAAACUGAGCUGAGGGCCCCAUCACAAAAUAAAGUGUUUUGCAUUUAAA